rnacentral:misc_RNA from 1 species
GUACCUUCAAGCUUUGCUUGGUGUUGGGUGUUUGUCUACUCCUUGGUGUUUAGACUCGCCUUAAAACAAUUGGCAGCCAGUGUUUUGGUAUUGAAGCGCAGCACAAGUAGCGUAACAAUCUAAUAAUACUAGCAUCCACAAGCCUUUUUUCAC